rfam:Meleagris gallopavo isolate NT-WF06-2002-E0010 breed Aviagen turkey brand Nicholas breeding stock chromosome 2, whole genome shotgun sequence.
AAUUGGCUUAAUCUCAGCUGGCAACUGUGAGGAGUUAAUAAUUCUCACAGUGGUAUCUGGGAUUAUGCUAAAC